AGAACCAUAAGGUAUUUUCCAUUGGAGUUGGAGGUAUUAAAUUCUUCUGGGUGUAGAAACUGUUCCUUGCCUUAACAUCAGGAUUGAUGGCCACCUCUGAAGCAUUUCUGCAAGUUUUAGGUGGUUCACUACCUAGUCUUUUUGGAUCUGAUGAUUCCUUUAGGAAAUUGGGAUCGUCACAUACCUCCAGAUCCUUCAUAAGAAUCAGAAAGAA
rnacentral:misc_RNA from 1 species